UACGAAGGGGGCUAGCGUUGCUCGGAAUCACUGGGCGUAAAGCGCACGUAGGCGGACUCUUAAGUCGGUGGUGAAAUCCUGGAGCUCAACUCCAGAACUGCCUUUGAUACUGGAAAGCUUGAGUUCGGGAGAGGUGAGUGGAACUGCGAGUGUAGAGGUGAAAUUCGUAGAUAUUCGCAAGAACACCAGUGGCGAAGGCGGCUCACUGGCCCGAUACUGACGCUGAGGUGCGAAAGCGUGGGGAGCAAACAGG
rnacentral:rRNA from 1 species